AAUAGAAAGUAGAAAAGGGCGCAUGGCGGAUGCCUUGGCUCACGGAGGCGAUGAAGGACGUGAUAAGCUGCGAUAAGCAUUGGGUAGGUGCAAAUA
rnacentral:rRNA from 1 species